ACGGGAGGCAGCAGUGGGGAAUAUUGGGCAAUGGGCGCAAGCCUGACCCAGCAACGCCGCGUGAGUGAUGAAGGUCUUCGGAUUGUAAAACUCUUUAAGCAGGGAAGAAGAAAGUGACGGUACCUGCAGAAUAAGCAUCGGCUAACUACGUGCCAGCAGCCGCGGUAAUACGUAGGAUGCAAGCGUUAUCCGGAAUGACUGGGCGUAAAGGGUGCGUAGGUGGUUUGGCAAGUUGGUAGCGUAAUUCCGGGGCUUAACUCCGGAACUACUACCAAAACUGUUGAACUUGAGUGCAGGAGGGGCAUGUGGAAUUCCUAGUGUAGCGGUGGAAUGCGUAGAUAUUAGGAGGAACACCAGUGGCGAAGGCGACAUGCUGGACUGUAACUGACACUGAGGCACGAAAGCGUGGGGAGCAAACAGGAUUAGAUACCCUGGUA
rnacentral:rRNA from 1 species